AGCCCGAGCCCCACUGCCCGAAGCUGAAGCCCAAGGGUGGCGGGGUUCUGGUUACAGUCCCCCUGUCCGGGGCUGAAGCGCUUGGGCUUUGCUCCCCCCCUCCCUCCGGGGCAGCGGCACUUGGCGGGCUCAGGCUUCUGACCCCCCCCCCCAUCCUGGGGUCGUCAGUUAUUGGGAGUGGACCACAUCUACUGAACUGACCUUGUCAACACUGGUUCUCCACUUUUAAGGAUGAUGUGAGGCAGAAAGUUCACCUCAGCACCUUUGGCGUCUUCAAGAAUGGGUUCAUGAUGGUCAAUGUCAGCAACCUUUCACUGAAGGGACCAUGGCGCCUUGAUGGCAAGAGCAACUCGGCAUUGAGAUAGAUGAAGCAUGAAGUUUCAAAUUGGUGGGAUUCAGUUCAGACUGAACAAGGAAUGAUGGACACUCCACUUGGCUGGUGACAAGUCCAAAAGAAGCAUAACAGCAACUCAGAAUGUAAUGGAGCAAGUGCACCAUUUUCGUGAAGAUAAAGCAACUGUUUCAUUCCAGGCUGAAGGACCUUCUGCUGUUCAUCACCAUCAUACUGAUCGGCACUGGCUGGGCUUUCAUUAAACAUCCUUUCAGAUAAAGACAAAAAGGUCUUUAUGGUUGUCAUCCCGCUACAGGUCCUGGCAAAUGUGGCAUACAUCAUCCUAGAGUCAACAGAAGAGGCAACAACUGCCCGUGGGCUGUGGAAAUGAAUUCUAUUCCUGGUAGACCUACUGUGUUGUGGAGCCAUCCUAUUUCCAGUAGUAUGGGUACAAGUUCUGUCUGGCAUCAGGUAACCCGGACCUACAUCUCUUUUAGGACGAUGAAGAUGACUUGAAGGUGGAAGCUAUGGUGGCUACUUCAGGGGUGAUGAAAAGCAGGGAGAAGGUCAAGAAAGCGGUAAAUGGUUCAGCAGAGCCCCGACACAAGUGGAAGAACACAGCACGAGGGGCCGAUUCCUCUGGACCAAGGCAGCACUUCCCGAGAAAAUGUUACUGUACUAAUACUACUCCGUGGAAAGGGAGCAACCUGAGCUUCCCAACGCUGGGACUGCAUCCUGUGGUGUGUGGAGGGGAGCAAAACAUUGCAAAAAGCUAAUUAUUCCUCUUUUAAGGAUAUGGGCUUAUUAUGGGAUAUUGUUACAUACAAGGAAUCUGGAGCUUUCUUAGGGAUGCUGGGUGGCUUAUUUGCUUCACACACACACCCCUUUCUGGAACUGUUAGGACUUCUGAAUUGUUUGCAGUUGUGUUCUCUGGAGUGUGUAAUAUCAAUGUGCAGAGAGACCUAUAGUGUGUGUGGGUAAAGUAAAUAUUUAUAUAAUGCAUAUACACACAUGCUGUGUGACACCUGCGCUGGAAAUUAUGAAGUGUCAUGAAAGGGAGGGAAGUUGGGGAGUCCACCAGAGGAGCUCGUUCUUAUGGAAUGAAAAGGUGGGAGAACCCCUGAAAGAAUUCUGUGACUAGCCUCUACUGCAGCACGAGUCUCCCCUCUUUUUAUAUUGAGCCGUAUCGCCUCUGUUGGGGCCUAUCGCCUCUGGCUAGGAUGCGUAGCAUCAAUGAGACUGCUGCCUAAGGAGCUGAAUCAGUCAGGAACGCAUAUAGACUGCAGCUACCAGAUACCAGGCCUUAAUCUUCAUGAAGAGAUCUGGACAUUCAGUGUUGACUGCGCUUCUACAGAAGAAUGGCAGUGUGGGGUCCCAUCAUGUAAAUGUGCUAAUAUCUCUCAGAUUACAAACCCACUAGGGAUCAGAUUUGGUGAAUGACAGUUGCAGAACUCAAGUCUCCAGGGACUGGAGAAUUGGAACCACUGGGAGCUUUGUCCUUUCAAUAAAGACUGGAACAGGAUGCAUUGGAGUUUGGUUUUAGAAUGUUGAUUCAUUUCUCUUUUGGACUGGAGCUGAGAUCGCAGAGCUCUUAAUAAAUGAGUUUUAAAGAA